ACUGCCAAAUAUCCUUGUCAAAGCCUGAUCUCGUCAGAUCUCAGAAGCUAAGCAGAGCUGGGUCUGGUUUGUACUUAGAUGGGAGACAGCUGGGAAAACCACUGUGGGGUGCCAGGA
rnacentral:rRNA from 1 species